GCUGCAGCAGCAGCUGCUCUGCAGAGUGGUGGCCGGGGCCGGGGUGCCCUCCCUCCCACCUUCUCCCGCCAUGAGCCAGGGAAGUCCGGGGGACUGGGCCCCCCUCGAUCCCACCCCCGGACCCCCAGCAUCCCCCAACCCCUUCGUGCAUGAGUUACAUCUCUCUCGCCUCCAGAGGGUUAAGUUCUGCCUCCUGGGGGCAUUGCUGGCCCCCAUCCGAGUGCUUCUGGCCUUUAUCGUCCUCUUUCUCCUCUGGCCCUUUGCCUGGCUUCAAGUGGCCGGUCUGAGUGAGGAGCAGCUUCAGGAGCCAAUUACGGGAUGGAGGAAGACUGUGUGCCACAACGGGGUGCUAGGCCUGAGCCGCCUGCUGUUUUUCCUGCUGGGCUUCCUCCGGAUUCGCGUUCGUGGCCAGCGAGCCUCUCGCCUUCAAGCCCCUGUCCUUGUUGCUGCCCCACACUCCACUUUCUUUGACCCCAUUGUUCUGCUGCCCUGUGACCUGCCCAAAGUUGUGUCCCGAGCUGAGAACCUUUCCGUUCCUGUCAUUGGAGCCCUUCUUCGAUUCAACCAAGCCAUCCUGGUAUCCCGGCAUGACCCGGCUUCUCGACGCAGAGUGGUGGAGGAGGUCCGAAGGCGGGCCACCUCAGGAGGCAAGUGGCCGCAGGUGGGUAAGGGUCUCAAGACCAUCUUCUCACUUUCCAUGUGCUCCUGAAGAGGCUUCCCUUUCCUCUCUCCACAGCCUUCUUCAGCCUUCUUCACCUCAUUCUGCUCUUUUUUACCCCAGGUGCUAUUCUUUCCUGAGGGCACCUGUUCCAACAAGAAGGCUUUGCUUAAAUUCAAACCAGGUGAAUAAAAUGAUAGUGGGUGGUGGGCUGUAGGAAAAAGAAGUUCCAGAUUUGGGGAGGGACUCUG
rnacentral:sRNA from 1 species